rnacentral:rRNA from 1 species
GUCCUUAGUUACCAGCACGUUAUGUGGGCACUCUAAGGAGAACUGCCGGUGACAAACCGGAGGAAGGUGGGGAUGACGUCAAGUCAUCAUGGCCUUACGGCCUGGGCUACACACGUGCUACAAUGGUCGGUACAAAGGGUUGCCAAGCCGCGAGGUGGAGCUAAUCCCAUAAAACCGAUCGUAGUCCGGAUCGCAGUCUGCAACUCGACUGCGUGAAGUCGGAAUCGCUAGUAAUCGUGAAUCAGAAUGUCACGGUGAAUACGUUCCCGGGCCUU